AAGCCGGGAGCGCACGCCCUGACAGCACCGCCAAGCCCCCAGCUCGGAGCAACAGCCUCCACCGCCGCUCCUCGCUAAAGCCUGGAGAACACUAAGGACUCCCCACUGGGGCUGAGCCCCUCCCGCCCUCAGCAGAGCCUCUGAACACGAGUAGCCUUUCCCUGCCUCCAGGGGCUCACGAAACGCUGCCACGCCGAACGAAUGCAACGCGUGCACACGUCCACACUCGAACAGCACAAGCAGGAGACCAGCUGGGUGUGGAACAGAGGCGCGCAUCCCGCAACGCAAGCACAGCAUGCACAUGCUCACACCCCGACCCCGUCCCUCCACGCGCGCCCUGAACACCCCGGCGCCCAAGCUCCCCAGCCCGCGAACCUCACCAGACAGACAGCCGGGUAACUUUCCAGGAGAAAUGUGGACACAGAGACAGAGAGGCAAAGUGGAAGGAUAAUGUGAAGACAGCCGUCGGCAAGCUGAGGAGAAAUGUUUGGAACAAAUUCUUUCCAAAUGCCCUCAGAAGGAACCAAUGCUGUCAUCACUUUGAUUGUGGACAUCUAGUCUCUAGAAUUGGGAAACAAUAGAAUUUGUCAUUAAAA